rnacentral:rRNA from 1 species
UACGAAGGGGGCUAGCGUUGCUCGGAAUCACUGGGCGUAAAGCGCACGUAGGCGGCUUACUAAGUCAGGGGUGAAAGCCUGGAGCUCAACUCCAGAACUGCCUUUGAUACUGGUAAGCUUGAGUUCGGGAGAGGUGAGUGGAACUGCGAGUGUAGAGGUGAAAUUCGUAGAUAUUCGCAAGAACACCAGUGGCGAAGGCGGCUCACUGGCCCGAUACUGACGCUGAGGUGCGAAAGCGUGGGGAGCAAACAGG